CGGAAUAACGCACGGAAACUUGUGCUAAUACCGUAUGUGUCCUUCGGGAGAAAGAUUUAUCGGUCAAGGAUGAGCCCGCGUUGGAUUAGCUAGUUGGUGGGGUAAAGGCCUACCAAGGCGACGAUCCAUAGCUGGUCUGAGAGGAUGAUCAGCCACAUUGGGACUGAUACACGGCCCAAACUCCUACGGGAGGCAGCAGUGGGGAAUAUUGGACAAUGGGCGCAAGCCUGAUCCAGCCAUGCCGCGUGAGUGAUGAAGGCCCUAGGGUUGUAAAGCUCUUUCACCGGAGAAGAUAAUGACGGUAUCCGGAGAAGAAGCCCCGGCUAACUUCGUGCCAGCAGCCGCGGUAAUACUAAGGGGGCUAGCGUUGUUCGGAAUUACUGGGCGUAAAGCGCACGUAGGUGGAUCGAUCAGUCAGGGGUGAAAUCCCAGGGCUCAACCCUGGAACUGCCUUUGAUACUGUCGAUCUGGAGUAUGGAAGAGGUGAGUGGAAUUCCGAGUGUAUAGGUGAAAUUCGUAGAUAUUCGGAGGAACACCAGUGGCGAAGGCGGCUCACUGGUCCAUUACUGACGCUGAGGUGCGAAAGCGUGUGGAGCAAACAGGAUUAGAUACCCUGGUAGUCCACGCCGUAAACAUGAAUGUUAGCCGUCAGGCAGUAUACUGUUCGGUGGCGCAACUAACGCAUUAAACAUUCCGCCUGGGGAGUACGGUCGCAAGAUUAAAACUCAAAGGAAUUGACGGGGGCCCGCACAAGCGGUGGAGCAUGU
rnacentral:rRNA from 1 species